UGAAACGAUAUUUUAUUGAAAGAAAAUAAUAAGCAAGAAUAUUCUACAGUUUUGUUACACAAAAAUCGAAUUUAAAGGUAUGCAAAAAUAAUAGAACAAAUAACAAGAUGACAUGAAUUAGUAGUUCAUUAACUUUCUUUUGAUAUGAAUACAUGUAAAAAAGAUCAGGAAAAAUGACUCUCGUAUGGCAUGCAAAGCGUAUUGCUUUAAGCUUUGUUCACAAAAACAAAAUUUGCUCACGCGCGAACAAUUUGCAACGCGUUCGGAUCGAUGGCUAGCUUAAGGAACAAAGACCGGAUGCGAGAGUUGUGCAACACAAUGUUUAUCCAACCAAUUAUCUAUGCUAGAGCUCGGAGUGAGCAUUUCACUUUUAUUCGAAUUGAUGCACGAGCCGUUACCGUAGCAAAGAAUACUACCACCUGUUACGUAUACUUGUCUAAUGGAUCGCUCUACAACAUUAGAUAUCGCUAUCACUUAACGAUCUAAUAUUACAACUGUAACAUCUCUUUUGUACUUUCGAUCGUGAAUUAGUAAAAAAGAAAGGAAGAUCUUUUCAAUCAUUUGAUAUUAAUUUAAAGAAAUAGAAUUAGAAUCAAUUUUUUAAAUGAUACAAAGAAAUGCAUUCAUUGCGUAUAAUAAGCAAUUAUAUGCGCAAAUAUUAAAGAAAAAGGAUCACUUCUAGUCGUCGGUCUGAGUUUUAUUGUUAAAACAUUUUUUCUUUUUUAAGGAUCGUUUACAUUGUGAUCCUUGAACGUGGCUCUCACCUUCGUUUUCUCCAAUUCGAGACUUUCGCUAGUUACCGACUAGAAAUCUUGUAUUUAUUUUUGACGACUUGACAAAGAUGCUUUUCACAGUCAGUAUAAAAUUAAGAAGAAAAGAAUGUGAUCAGUAUAAGAAUUAAUACACUAUUUGGUAAUUAAUACAGUGAAAUAAUGAAUAAACAAAGAUGAGAAAAUGCCCGAUACAGAUCUAGUCAAAACAAAGCUGGAAGAAACGACAUUGAGGAAGAUCUCAAAUCUAUCCGGAUAAGACACGAGACUCGUUCUUUCUUUCAGGUUGAGGAAGCGAGUCGCGUGAUCUACACUCUAUACAAUGCUUUGGAAAGCAAGCAUUGAUGUAGAAGACAUUGAUGAUAGACAUUGAACGUUUUCGCGUUCCUUUGAGAAUGAUGUCCAGUGUUCUAGACGAAGCUAAUUUGUCACAGUAGUUUAAAAAUUGAGCUUGUUACGGGUCGGUCGAAACAACGAAUCAAGGUCGGCCGAAGAAACGCGUAUCAAGUUGCCAACUUUAUUAGUCCUCUGACUGAACGAAUUCUAAGGUCGCUCGAUGACACGUAUCUAUUAAUUUAUUAUUCCAUCGCACGUAAUUUGUCGAUAACGAUAUCGAGGCGGAACAACCAAUUACAUCGCGAUGGAACAAUUUCUUUAUCUAUUAUAUAAACAAUAUAGUUUAUGUUAUAAAUGAACAUCAAGCUACUUUCACCAUUUCACACACAUUAAGAAAAUUAUUUCCGAUGCUGAGUGCUAUAGAGAGUCGGACGUUACGUUGCCGGCAAAUGUAUGCUGUGAGUAGAUUAUACCAGUGAGUAGAUCAGACCAUGCGAACAACUGGCAAGCUUCAAAUCUGCACAAGAUUUGUGGUUCAUCAGAUUUGCGAUAUAUAAUUUACAUUUUACUGCAAGUAUUCAUAGAAAAGUUUAGUAAAAUUGAACAAUCGUGUUUGCAAGCGUGGAGAUGGUAAAAAAAAAACCGAUUAGUCUGAGUAGACUUUUCUCAAGAAACAUGCUGUUGAGUCGCGUUCGCGUUAUGAUCUUGAACGACUCAAACGAAAUUAAAAUUGUGCAGACUGAUUGAGAUAGGAAUGUUUUCCGUAGUAGACUAUCUUUCGUAUCUUGAAUAUAUUGUGUAUCUAUGCGUGCUGACGAUUUUCGUAUAUCUGCCCUCCCAACAAACAACAAAAAUAUUAACUGAGAUCGAGCGUAGUGGUCGUCACGACUUUUCACCAGCAUGAAAAAAUGGGCGAACAAUUGGCUAUUCAUAGCAUUUUGUAAAUUAAAAAUAAUUUCUUCAUACCAAUAGAAAGUCUUAAUUUAGAACGUUUCGGUUUUUUUUUGAUGGCGAAUGCUCAAACUCGAUUUUUCUCUCGAAGCUAUUUGAGUUUCAAUACAUGCAAUUUCAACAUUGUUCGAUAUCUUAUCUAAGCUUUUAUUAUCGUAUCUGUCACUACGCAGCCCGGAUUGUUCUUUGUUCCAACAUUUACGAUGUUUUUGUUCAUCAAUCGUACAGGUGUAAAUCGAAAUACUGUUCUCAUCUUUAAGUGAUUACAGAAACAUAAACAUUACUUGGACGAAUGUUCCAACGCGUUUUCUUUCCUGGAAUGAAAUCUUCAGAGAAAAGCGAAAGUGUAAUGCCUCAAAUGCGGAAAGAUGUAGCGUAGAAAGUACCUAACGCGAAGGAAACAAUUACGUUUCACCUUACCUAUUCUAUCCAGUUUAUCGAGUCAACCUUGCUGAUGUUUUGUUUUACGUUCGAUGAUCCAGUAAACAAAACCAAACUCGAUUGAUGUUGGCAAGCUAAAUAUAAUAGAACGACAUCAAUGAUGGAUUUGACCUACC